rnacentral:rRNA from 1 species
CCUACGGGUGGCAGCAGUGGGGAAUAUUGCACAAUGGGGGAAACCCUGAUGCAGCGACGCCGCGUGAGUGAAGAAUUAAUUCGUUAUUUAAAGCUCUAUCUGCAGGGAAGAAAAUGACGGUACCUGAGUAAUAAGCCCCGGCUAACUACGUUCCAGCAGCCGCGGUAAUACGUAGGGGGCAAGCGUUAUCCGGAUUUACUGGGUGUUAAGGGAGCGUAGACGGCAGUGCAAGUCUGGAGUGAAAGGCGGGGGGUCAACCCCCGGACUGCUCUGGAAACUGUACGGCUGGAGUGCAGGAGAGGUAAGUGGAAUUCCUAGUGUAGCGGUGAAAUGCAUAGAUAUUAGGAGGAACACCAGUGGCGAAGGCGGCUUACUGGACUGUAACUGACGUUGAGGCUCGAAAGCGUGGGGAGCAAACAGGAUUAGAUACCCUUGUAGUC